rnacentral:lncRNA from 1 species
CCAUUGUCCUUGGAAUAUUCUUUAUAUAUGCUUGUGUUCCCCCAUGUACUUUUUGUAAUGAUUUCUUGUUUAUAAUAAUAAUAAUAAUAAUAUAAAAAUGUAAUAUAUAAAAAAUCUGAAAAAAUAUAUCGCUAAGGUUUGACUUUUUCAGACCGGCAUUUCUAUAGACAACCCUGUGUAUAUUCCGGGUCCUGAGUCAACGUGGGACAGUGCGUUUGUGUCAUGCCGAAUUUGUUGUGUUUGUGUUUUUAAUGUCAGUAGUUCUAUUUUGACAUAUUUUUUACAUUACUAGUUUGGGAUAUUGGACAGUAACUGUGACGACUUAUCAUGAUGCCGGGGGAGAAUCUUUCCAAAAUCGCUUCAGGAGCAACUACUGGAGCCUGUCAAAACUGCACUGUGCUUCACCAGAACCUAAACGAAUAUGUGGCAGCUCUCCUGGUUUUGAAACAGAAAACUAUUGACUCCGAAGCGCUGAGAAGUUGUCCCAGCAGCUUUUUGAGGAAGUGGAGAGGCUGAAGGAGCAGAACAACAACACAGAGACUCAGUAAGACUCAACAAGAACAUUUUACAGCAUAUUUUGUUUGGUUCUUGUUCCGCUGACAUCUCUUUUCUCUGUUCUCCAGAAAGAAGAGACUUGAGGACCAGCUGAAGAUGGUAGCAGAGACAACAGAGAAGCAGUGUGUGGAUAAUGUCCAGCUGAGACAGGAGAAGACGGCACUGCAGAAAGACCUGCUGAAAACACAGGUGUCGUUGAAGACAUGUCAGAAGGUAGCAGAGGAAGUGCAGCAGUUGAAGGAGGACAACGCCAGGACAUCCGUUCUAAAAUACGACCUGGAAAAACAUCUUGUACUGUUUCAAGAUUCUCAACUCAAGCAAGAGCGUGACAUUACCAGGCUGAAAACAGAGAAGAUUGUACUGGAGAACGAGCUUCUACAUCUUCAGGAACGACUAGAGAAAACUGGAGACGGAGAAGAAUAAAGUAUUAAAGAGCACAUCAACUCAAGCAACGGCACCUGAAGAAACACAGGUGGAUAAAGUAUGUUUUUAUUACACUAUAACCCAAGUUGAUACCACCACUUACCGUGCCUUGCGAAAGUAUUCGGCCCCCUUGAACUUUGCAACCUUUUGCCACAUUUCAGGCUUCAAACAUAAAGAUAUAAAACUGUAUUUUUUUGUGAAGAAUCAACAACAAGUGGG